GUGGAUAUAGCUCAGUGGUAGAGUGCGUGCUUAGCAUACACAGGGUCCUGGGUUUAAAUCCCAGUGCCUCCA
rnacentral:tRNA from 1 species